GGCGACGUUCGUCCGCCGGACUCGGAAUGCGGCGAGACUUUGCGAGGGGCCUCGGGGUGCCAAAAAUAAGCCGCGGGCAAAGCCGCGCCCAGAAAUAAGCGCCCGAAGGUCGUGGUGCCAAAACCCCCCAGCGGAAAAAUGGCCAAAAAACGGGUGGGCUAUAGCCUUGGUGGGGGGCGCGGGCGAAGUUCGUCCGCCGGACUCGGAAUGGGGCGAGACUUUGCGAGGGGCCUCGGGGUGCCAAAAAUAAGCCGCGGGCAAAGCCGCGCCCAAAAAUAAGCGCCCGAAGGUCGUGGUGUCAAAACCCCCCAGCGGAAAAAUGGCCAAAAAACGGGUGGGCUAUAGCCUUGGUGGGGGGCGCAGGCGAAGUUCGUCCGCCGGACUCGGAAUGCGGCGAGACUUUGCGAGGGGCCUCGGGGUGCCAAAAAUAAGCCGCGGGCAAAGCCGCGCCCGAAGGUCGUGGUGCCAAAACCCCUCAGCGGAAAAAUGGCCAAAAAACGGGUGGGCUAUAGCCUUGAUGGGGGGCGCGGGCGACGUUCGUCCGCCGGACUCGGAAUGCGGCGAGACUUUGCGAGGGGCCUCGGGGUGCCAAAAAUAAGCCGCGGGCAAAGCCGCGCCCAAAAAUAAGCGCUCGAAGGUCGUGGUGCCAAAACCCCCUAGCGGAAAAAUGGCCAAAAAACGGGUGGGCUAUAGCCUUGGUGGGGGGCGCGGGCGACGUUCGUCCGCCGGACUCGGAAUGCGGCGAGACUUUGCGAGGGGCCUCGGGGUGCCAAAAAUAAGCCGCGGGCAAAGCCGCGCCCAGAAAUAAGCGCCCGAAGGUCGUGGUGCCAAAACCCCCCAGCGGAAAAAUGGCCAAAAAACGGGUGGGCUAUAGCCUUGGUGGGGGGCGCGGGCGAAGUUUGUCCGCCUGACUCGGAAUGGGGCGAGACUUUGCGAGGGGACUCGGGGUGCCAAAAAUAAGCCGCGGGCAAAGCCGCGCCCAAAAAUAAGCGCCCGAAGGUCGUGGUGCCAAAAACCCCCAGCGGAAAAAUGGCCAAAAAACGGGUGGGCUAUAACCUUGGUGGGGGGCGCGGGCGAAGUUCGUCCGCCGGACUCGGAAUGGGACGAGACUUUGCGAGGGGCCUCGGGGUGCCAAAAAUAAGCCGCGGGCACAGCCGCGCCCAAACAUAAGCGCCCGAAGGUCGUGGUGCCAAAACCCCCCAGCGGAAAAAUGGCCAAAAAACGGGUGGGCUAUAGCCUUGAUGGGGGGCGCGGGCGACGUUCGUCCGCCGGACUCGGAAUGCGGCGAGACUUUGCGAGGGGCCUCGGGGUGCCAAAAAUAAGCCGCGGGCAAAGCCAAAAAAUGGGGCGAGAAAAAUGGUAAAGUCCCCCCACCAAGCGCCCGAAGGUCGUGGUGCCGAAACCCCCCAGCGGAAAAAUGGCCAAAAAACGGGUGGGCUAUAGCCUUGGUGGGGGGCGCGGGCGAAGUUCGUCCGCCGGACUCGGAAUGCGGCGAGACUUUGCGAGGGGCCUCGGGGUGCCAAAAAUAAGCCGCGGGCAAAGCCGCGCCCAAAAAUAAGCGCCCGAAGGUCGUGGUGCCAAAACCCCCCAGCGGAAAAAUGGCCAAAAAAUGGGUGGGCUAUAGCCUUGGUGGGGGGCGCGGGCGAAGUUCUUCCGCCGGACUCGGAAUGCGGCGAGACUUUGCGAGGGGCCUCGGGGUGCCAAAAAUAAGCCGCGGGCAAAGCCGCGCCCAAAAAUAAGCGCCCGAAGGUCGAGGUGCCAAAACCCCCCAGCGGAAAAAUGGCCAAAAAACGGGUGGGCUAUAGCCUUGGUGCGGGGCGCGGGCGACGUUCGUCCGCCGGACUCGGAAUGGGGCGAGACUUUGCGAGGGGCCUCGGGGUGCCAAAAAUAAGCCGCGGGCAAAGCUGCGCCCAAAAAUACGCGCCCGAAGGUCGUGGUGCCAAGACCCCCCAGCGGAAAAAUGGCCAAAAAACGGGUGGGCUAUAGCCUUGGUGGGGGGCGCGGGCGAAGUUCGUCCGCCGGACUCGGAAUGCGGCGAGACUU
rnacentral:lncRNA from 1 species